GUUUACGAAGAUAGUAUGAGGGGCUUAGUGUAACAUGGAGAUAUUUUUGGUAUAUAAGAGAAGCUCAUCUUCUAGGGUUCUAGUUCUCCUCUUCGCAGACUUCACCCACACAUCUGUUCUCUCUGGUCUUAUAUCAAUUUGAACAGUCUCUUCAUCUGGCUCUCGUGUAUUCUCCCUGGAAGUCUGUUAGUGUGCUGCUGAUUUGUUGAUCUGCUGAAGAUUUUGAGAAGAUCUUUAACAAAUAUCGUCUUGUUCUCUUUUGUAUUUUUGUUUAGAUCAGCGAUUUGUCUAGUUUUGUUUGAAUCAUUCGGACUAAUCAACUAAUUAUCAUCAGUUGUUAUUCUGUUAUAACAGGUUGCAACUAAUAGAGGGGUCUGAUUGUAACUUUGGCUCAUUUUCAUGUUUACGAAGAUAGUAUGAGGGGCUUAGUGUAACAUGGAGAUAUUUUUGGUAUAUAAGAGAAGCUCAUCUUCUAGGGUUCUAGUUCUCCUCUUCGCAGACUUCACCCACACAUCUGUUCUCUCUGGUCUUAUAUCAAUCUGAACAGUCUCUUCAUCUGGCUCUCGUGUAUUCUCCCAGGAAGUCUGUUAGUGUGCUGCUGAUUUGUUGAUCUGCUAAAGAUUUUGAGAAGAUCUUUAACAGAUAUCGUCUUGUUCUCUUUUGUAUUUUUUUUAGAUCAGUGAUUUGUCUAGUUUUGUUUGAAUAAUUCGGACUAAUCAACUUAUUACCAUCAGUUGAUUACAUCUUCGUUGUAUUGUUCUAUAGAUCUUACAGUUUGUAAGAUCAAGGGUGGUUCGGGUGUUUUUCGGUUUGGGUAAAUAAUAAAAUUUUAUGUCACGUUUUGUUAUUAUAUCAAUCUGAACAGUCUCUUCAUCUGGCUCUCGUGUAUUCUCCCUGGAAGUCUAUUAGUGUGCUGCUGAUUUGUUGAUCUGCUGAAGAUUUUGAGAAGAUCUUUAACAUAUAUCGUCUUGUUCUCUUUUGUAUUUUUGUUUAGAUCAGCGAUUUGUCUAGUUUUGUUUGAAUCAUUCGGACUAAUCAACUGAUUAUCAUCAGUUGAUUACGUCUUCGUUGUAUUGUUUUAUAGAUCUUACAGUUUGUAAGAUCAAGGGUGGUUCGGGUGUUUUUCGGUUCGGGUAAAUAAUAAAAUUUUAUGUCACGUUUUGUCGCU